UACAGAGGGUGCGAGCGUUAAUCGGAAUUACUGGGCGUAAAGCGCGCGUAGGCGGCUUUGCAGGUCGGGUGUGAAAUCCCCAGGCUUAACCUGGGAACUGCAUUCGAGACUGCAUUGCUAGAGUAUGGGAGAGGGAAGUGGAAUUUCCGGUGUAGCGGUGAAAUGCGUAGAUAUCGGAAGGAACAUCAGUGGCGAAAGCGACUUCCUGGACCAAUACUGACGCUCAUGUGCGAAAGCGUGGGGAGCAAACAGG
rnacentral:rRNA from 1 species